AACGUAGGAGGCGAGCGUUAUCCGGAUUUACUGGGUGUAAAGCGCAUGCAGGCGGUUCGCUAAGUUGGGUGUGAAAGCUCCUGGCUCAACUGGGAGAGGUCGCUCAAGACUGGCGGGCUAGAGGAUGGUAGGGGAAGGCGGAAUUCCGGGUGUAGUGGUGAAAUGCGUAGAUAUCCGGAGGAACACCAGUGGCGAAGGCGGCCUUCUGGACCAUGACUGACGCUCAGAUGCGAAAGCUAGGGGAGCAAAC
rnacentral:rRNA from 1 species